GAUGAACGCUGGCGGCGUGCCUAAUACAUGCAAGUCGAGCGAACAGACGAGGAGCUUGCUCCUCUGACGUUAGCGGCGGACGGGUGAGUAACACGUGGAUAACCUACCUAUAAGACUGGGAUAACUUCGGGAAACCGGAGCUAAUACCGGAUAAUAUAUUGAACCGCAUGGUUCAAUAGUGAAAGACGGUUUUGCUGUCACUUAUAGAUGGAUCCGCGCCGCAUUAGCUAGUUGGUAAGGUAACGGCUUACCAAGGCAACGAUGCGUAGCAAACCUGAGAGGGGGCCGGGCCACACGGAAAGUGAGACGCGGCCCAGACCCCCCGGGGGGGCAAGAAGGGGAAAUUUGCCGAAGGGGGCAAAAGCCUGAGGGAGCAACGGCGGGAGGGUAAUGAGGGUUUUGGGAUCAUAAAACUCUUUUAUGAGGAGAAAACAAAUGUGAAAGUAACUAUGACCGUCUUACGGGAACUUAAUAAAAAAGCCCCGGUAAACUCGUG
rnacentral:rRNA from 1 species